GACGUAGGGCGCGAGCGUUGUCCGGAUUUAUUGGGCGUAAAGAGCUCGUAGGCGGCUUGUCGCGUCGGCUGUGAAAACCCGCGGCUCAACUGUGGGCGGGCAGCUGAUACGGGCAGGCUGGAGUUCGGUAGGGGAGACUGGAAUUCCUGGUGUAGCGGUGAAAUGCGCAGAUAUCAGGAGGAACACCGGUGGCGAAGGCGGGUCUCUGGACAGUUCCUGACACUGAGGCACGAAGGCCAGGGGAGCAAACGGG
rnacentral:rRNA from 1 species